rnacentral:rRNA from 1 species
AGCUCGUGUCGUGAGAUGUUCGGUUAAGUCCGCUAACGAGCGCAACCCUCGUCGUAUGUUAUAUGUGUCAUACGAGACUGCCGGUAAAAAGGCCGGAGGAAGGUGAGGAUGAUGUCAAGUCAGCAUGACCUUUAUAUCCAGGGCUACACACACGCUACAAUGGUCUGUACAAUGGGUAGCCAAGCCGCGAGGCGGAGCCAAUCCUGAAAGCAGGCCUCAGUUCAGAUUGCAGUCUGCAACUCGACUGCAUGAAGCCGGAGUUGCUAGUAACCGCAGGUCAGCAAUACUGCGGUGAAUACGUUCCCGGGUCUU